rnacentral:rRNA from 1 species
UACGUAGGGACCGAGCGUUGUCCGGAAUCAUUGGGCGUAAAGAGCGUGUAGGCGGCCACUUAAGUCCUGCGUGAAAUCUUGCGGCUCAACCGCAAGCGGUCGUGGGAAACUGGGUGGCUAGAGUGCGGGAGAGGAGAGUGGAAUUCCUGGUGUAGCGGUGGAAUGCGCAGAUAUCAGGAAGAACACCCGUGGCGAAGGCGGCUCUCUGGGCCUGUACUGACGCUGAGGAGCGAAAGCGUGGGGAGCGAACAGG